GGUUCUGUGGUCUAAUGGUUAUGACGUCUGCUUCACAUCGGAACUGUUUUCCGAGUUAACGCUGAAGGUUCCCGGUUCGAGCCCGGGCAGAAUCA